ACCAUAAGAAUCCUCCUCUCUCGCUCAACCUCUCUCUCUCUCUCUCUCUCAACCCAGAGACGGCCACAAACCUUUCUUCCAAAUCCUCGACCCAAACCCCUCCAAGAAAAUCUCCCAGUCAUAGUUUCACUGGCUGAGAGGGCCCGGGGAAGCUAGAGAGCGAUGGAUUCGGAUCAGGGGAAGCUGUUCAUCGGUGGUAUUUCUUGGGAGACCACGGAGGAAAAACUGAAGGAGUACUUUGAGAACUACGGGGACGUGUUGCAGACUGUGGUGAUGAGGGACAAGACCACUGGGAGGCCCAGAGGGUUCGGCUUCGUGGUCUUCGCAGAUCCUUCCAUUCUCGAUAGGGUUCUCCAGGACAGCCACACCAUUGAUGGCAGAACGGUUGAGGCUAAGAGGGCCUUAUCGAGAGAGGAACAGCAGACUUCUGCCAAAGCCGUGAAUCCUAAUCUUGCUAGAAGCUCUGGGGGUGGUGGAACUUUCAGAACCAAGAAAAUAUUCGUUGGAGGGCUGCCUUCCACUUUAAGUGAAGAAGAAUUUCGUCAACAUUUUGCAUCUUAUGGCCAUGUAACUGAUGUAGUAGUCAUGUAUGACCAGAAUACUGGGCGACCUCGUGGGUUUGGGUUUAUUACCUUUGACGAUGAAGAAGCUGUUGAUAGGGUUUUACACAAAAGCUUCCAUGACUUAAAUGGUAAACAAGUGGAAGUAAAGCGAGCUCUUCCUAAAGAUGCAAAUCCUGGUGGGGGAAACCGUACCAUGGGAGGCGGUGGUAGUGGUUCACUUGGCAGUGGUUAUCAAAACUAUGGGGCAUCUGGUGGCAACCCAAAUACAUAUGAUGGUCGAAUGGAUUCCAAUAGGUACAUGCAGACACAAAGUACCGGAGGUGGUUUUGCUCCUUAUGGUUCCUCUGGAUAUAGUGCACCUGGCUAUGGGUAUGGUCCUGCCAAUAAUGGUAUUAGUUAUGGUGCUUAUGGCAGUUAUGGUGGUGCCAAUACUGGGUAUGGUGGACCUGCUGGCGCGGCAUAUGGAAGCCCGAAUCUUCCUAAUGCUGGUUUUGGAAGUGGCCCACCGGGUGCUUCUAGAAGUUCAUGGAGCGCUCAAGCUCCCACUGGAUAUGGUGCCAUGGGUUAUGGGAACACUGCUGCUUGGGGUGCUCCAGGUGGCAGCACUGGUGCUCCUAGUGGUGGCCCCGGCUCAGCACCUACAGGUCAGUCGCCCAGUGGGGCCACAGGGUAUGGGAAUCAAAGUUAUGGCUAUGGUGGUUAUGGUGGAAGUGAUGGGUCUUAUGGAAAUCCUGUUGGGUAUGGUGCUGUUGGAGGUCGUUCUGGGAGUGUCCCAAGUAACAAUGCUGGUGGUCCUGCUGGGGGGGAUAUGCAAGGAAGUGGUGGUGGUUACGUGGGAAGUGGCUAUGGUGAUGCGAAUGGAAAUACAGGGUAUGGAAAUGGAGCGUGGAGAUCUGAGCAAUCACAGACUUCUGGAAAUUAUGGUGCUGCUCAGGUGAAUGGUCCUCAUGGUGGGCAGGUUGCCUAUGGUGGUGGAUAUGCCAAUGCCCAGGCCCGAACCCAACAACAGUAAUCAUGUGGCUAGGGAUCCAACUGAAUCUUCAUCUUUGUUUCUUUUCUAUGAGAGGGUCAGAAUUUUUUUCCGUGCAAAGCAGCAGAGGGAGCGGCGCAGUUGGUUGUCAACCCGCUUUGGGACUGGAGAGAUGCACGAGGUCAAAAGUGGAGUGAAGUGUCCACUCAUGGCUGAACACAAGCAUCGUUGUGGGUGCAGGGGGGGAGUGUUCAGCAUGGAUGGAAUUUCAGGGUUCAGUUGAAAUUACAAAUUUACCUGGGACAGGUCAUUCUCCAGCCUGGCCAUGGCACUGUCGAGUUUUGCAGAUUCCAGGGAGUUCAAGUGUGAAAACUUCCUAAUCUUCACUCAGGUGUGGUAUUACUGGAGGAUUUUGUUGGGUGAACAGCUCACGGUAUGUUGAUUUAAAGUGGCUUAGCUGUGUCUCUCUCACUCGUGAAUUCAUUGUGACCUAGUUGCUUAGCCUUUUGAUUUGGAUUAUAUCAUGGUAUAUGGUUCCAAAUGUUAGAGUAUUGGAGAAUGUUUACUUAUUAAAAAAAAAUGUUUAGAGUAUCGGAGGAUCUGUCUUUGUUAAAAACAGUUGAUUGAAGUUUCAGAAUGAAGUGAAGGACUCCCAAGAAAUUUGAUGGCUAGUUGUUUCUAAUAAUGUAGGUUAAGAUCAUUUGCCAA